rnacentral:tRNA from 1 species
GCAGAGGUGGCGGAGUGGUCUAACGCGCCGGCCUUGAGAGCCGGUAUCCGAAAGGAUGCGCGAGUUCAAAUCUCGUCCUCUGCG